rnacentral:lncRNA from 1 species
CGUGUACAGCUCGUGGAUAACCAGGCAGCGGUGGGGCGGGGCAAAGUCGAGGGGGCGGGGCGUGGAGCGCCGGGGCGUGAGGGGGCACGUGGCGGGUCCUGCUGCAGCCCCUGUCCGCGGAACUGUCCCGCUUCUGGCCGCACGGCAACCGACGGGCGGUGGGGAGGCCGGGGCCACCCGGUGAGCCUCAAUUCCUGCCUGCGGGCUGAGGUGGGAGCACUGAGCUGUGGGCUCAGCUUCUCUCCGUGGGUAAUGGGACUCACAGAGAGUGGAAACAGGGCAAGGUGGUGCAGUGCAAUGUGUUCCCUGUUUGACAUAAAAGCUUGGGAAAACCCACAGCUCUUCAGUGAUAAAUGCACGUAUGCCAGGAAGGGGAGCGGGCCAGCCAGGCAGCGGUGUGGCCCUGUGCCCCAACCCCAAACUACAGCCACAGCCCUGCACCUCACAAAGCCACGCGCCCUCCUGGGCCGGCCGGUUUACUGAGUGUAACGUUUCUGUAUGAGGUUUCCUGUUUUGUGGUUGCCCAAUGCCUCUUCUUGAAGGAACGAGUUGCCCGCGUCUACGCUGGUGACAAAGAAGUGGAGCUUCUGACUCAGCUCUGUGCUUGGGGCUUCCACCAUCUUCUGCUUCCUGCGUUGUUACAUCCUGGUGAGCCCAGGAAAGAACCAGCUCGGCGCUUCCCCGCUGACUCAGGCUGAAGAUGGAUUGGCACAAUAUUUCCUUGCUCAUCAGGUUCUGGCAUGAGCUGGCAGAGGUAAUCCAAAUGCAGUUCAGCAAGGAAACGUACCACAGAGGGGUGGGAUACAGCUGAGUAAAGCUGCUGGUGAGUAACAGGGAAAUCCUGGUGAGGCUGCAUGUGGGCACAUAUUCUACCAGAUGGCACAGAGGGUCUUAUCAUUGCUGGUGCAGCAGCACUGGUACUGCGAAAGUGUCACCUCUAAUGAGAGUCAUUAAAAAUAGACCUGGUUGCAGUGGCAAGACUAGCAAUGGCAAGAGGCACCCGUCAUCCCAGCGUAGAUGAGUUUCUGAGGCUCUCACACAAGGAGAAAUAGAAGUGUAUGGCACAAUUCUGUUUGAGUAAUAGAAGGAAAAAAGAAAGGUCUCUGUUCAAAGCCAUAGGAAGUUUAGGAGACCAGGAGAACCACAACAACAUUCAUGCAGAGCUCCAUCAGGGGAAAAUGGCGUUCUCUGCUUGGUCAUAGUUUUGUUCCUCUGCAUAACAGGCUGCUUCAGAUCAGAACAAAACAGGCUUUUUUUUCCUAGGAUUUGCCAGAUUGAAUUUGGAAGAGGGUAGCAGGGUCUGAUGCAGGCUGCAAAGAUUAGUUCUGGUUCCAGCAUUUCUUCAGCCCAGGCACAGCAGCAAAGUGCAAAUGCAGGAUUGAUGUCAUCUGUCUGUUUGGGGAUGGCUCGCAACCAG